UGUCGAAUUUGGAAAAUCGAUUAUUCAGAGAAGAACACUGGUCGAUCGAUAAGAGAGCGCACAGAGCUUUGAAUUUUUAGGUUCAGGUUUUGGGUUGGUGGAUCGUUUUGUUCUGACAACUGAGUCAUUCGGAUUUGUGGAGCGAUUUGGAGGUUUUUUUUCUUUCUUCAAUCAUCUUCUGUAAACUUGUGUGAGAAAGAUUUUCACUCUUGAAGAAAUAAACUAGCAGGCGGUUCCGAUUCGAAAAGGUUUAUAAGAUGUAUCCGGCCUACAGAUGCAUGGACUCGUUUCCCCAUCAGAGAAAUCAAAUGCCAUAUACACAGCAUUAUUAUCCGAGCUUCGAAGGUAUUCCAUAUCCACCUCAGGUCAAUGUGGAUCCAUCUAAGUCUCCUAUAACAUAUGAAACCUGGCCUUAUGGUGGCAGCUAUGGUUGUUCAAUUCCUGUGGUAUGUCAUGGUUGUUGCAACCAUAACCAUUUCCCAAGUUAUGGGGGUUUCAGACCUCCUUAUCCUCAUUUUCCAUCGCCGUCACCGUUUCAGUGUCAUGGAGGACAAGGCGGUUCAGAGCUGGAUCUGCCUGUGUUAAACAUGCAAAUGAUGCUCUAAAAGGUACAACACAUGGAAUUGCAGUGUAAGAGUGAAAAUUACAUAUGUGAGUGAUUAUGUUAAAUCUGAUAUGGGAUUGAGUUUUGUUGUAUCCUUCCUUGUAAUAAUAUCUACAACUCUUCUUUGUUUCUUUGUUAUUUUCAUUGAUUGUGUUGGUUUGACA